rnacentral:lncRNA from 1 species
GGGAGAGCAUAAAUGGAGAUGAGACUCUGUUCACACUCUUUCCUGAUAUCCCUGUGUUUUCAAAGAGAAAACUGUGUCAAAACCAGGGAAGGGGAGGGGGGAGGUGAAAAAGGACAUUUUCCAAGAACUCCAGGCCUACAGUCCUUAGUGCAACAGUACCUGUUGUUUACAAAGAUUCAUCUGCCUCUGUCCUGCAUUUCCCUCCGUGGACACCAGGGCACUGUCUGAUCAUCUGGUCUUCUCAGUCCCCGGCAAAGUUCACGGACC